UAGCCAUGCAUGUCUAAGUAUAAGUAUUAUACAGCGAAACUGCGAAUGGCUCAUUAAAACAGUUAUGGUUUAUUUGAUAAUCGAAUUUUACAUGGAUAACCGUGGUAAUUCUAGAGCUAAUACAUGCUGGUGUGCCUGACUUUUCGGAAGGGCGGUAUUUAUUAGAUAACGAACCAAUAUUCCUCUGGUCUAUUGUGGUGAAUCAUAAUAACUGAUCGAAUCGCAAAGCCUUUGGCUGCGAUAUGUCAUUCAAGUUUCUGCCCCAUCAGCUUUCGAUGGUAGUGUAUUGGACUACCAUGGCUUUUACGGGUAACGGAGAAUUAGGGUUCGAUUCCGGAGAGGGAGCCUGAGAAACGGCUACCACAUCUAAGGAAGGCAGCAGGCGCGUAAAUUACCCAAUCCUGACUCAGGGAGGUAGUGACAAGAAAUAACGGACCGGCCUUUCGAGGCUCGGGAUUGCAAUGAGCCGAAUUUACACCCCUUAGCGAGGACCCAUUGGAGGGCAAGUCUGGUGCCAGCAGCCGCGGUAAUUCCAGCUCCAAUAGCGUAUAUUAAAGUUGUUGCAGUUAAAAAGCUCGUAGUUGGAUUUCUGGGGAGGUGCCAAUGUCACCUUAGUGUUGCGCAGCGGCGCCUCUCCAUCCUUCUGUUAACGCCGUCGGUCCUUAAUCGGUCUGCGGCGGGCUCAGAUAUUUUACCUUGAGAAAAUUAGAGUGUUUCAGGCAGGCCAGGCCGGAAUACAUUAGCAUGGAAUAAUGGAAUAGGACUUUAGUCUCUUUGUUGGUUUGGGGGACUGCAGUAAUGAUUAAUAGGGAUAGUUGGGGGCAUUAAUACUUAACUGUCAGAGGUGGAAUUCUCAGAUUUGUUAAAGAUUAACUUAUGCGAAAGCAUUUGCCAAGGAUGUUUUCAUUAAUCAAGAACGAAAGUUAGGGGAUCAAAGACGAUCAGAUACUGUCCUAGUCUUAACCGUAAACUAUGCCGACUCGGGAUUGGGGGCGCGAACUAUCCGCCUUCAGCA
rnacentral:rRNA from 1 species